UAACAGUAGCAAAAGGAUUUGGCAGCCUACCCUCCUCCCCCAGUCUGAAGUUUGCAGAAGACUGCAAAUUACAAAUUUAUCGAGAAAAGAAAAAGGAGAGAGAGCGAGAGACGGCGAAGUGCAAACGGACACGCACAGAAUCAACGGAGAAUGUGACGUCACUCAGUGGCUCACCUCACUCACUCAUAACUCCCUCAAAUUCAAAAACCCAACGAUUCCGUUCAUCUCACACAUUUCUCUCGUACCGCCCCCAAGCCGCCGGCGACGACGUCGUUUGCCUCCUGAAGUUGCAGAAGCUCAGCUCUCCGCAGGUCGUUGGUAAUGGAGAUCUCUGAUGAUGAAAAGGAUACAGUCUAUGAGAAUUAUAUACCGAAAGAACUCAGUCAUGCUUUAUCAUCUACUGGUGCAAAGUUUAUAGAUGAAGUCCUUAAUGGUCAAAAUGAACGCUGUUUAGAGAACUUUCGCAUGGAUAAGCAUGUCUUCUACAAGUUGUGUGAUAUUUUGCAAGGAAAAGGCCUACUGCGCCACACAAAUCGAAUCAAGAUUGAAGAGCAAUUGGCCAUGUUCUUGUUCAUAAUUGGUCAUAAUCUACGGACUCGAGCUGUUCAAGAGUUAUUCCGUUAUUCCGGAGAAACCAUCAGUCGUCAUUUCAACAAUGUCUUAAACGCAGUAAUGGCAAUUUCGUUAGGUUUCUUUCAGCCUCCAGGAUCUGAUGUUCCUCCCGAAAUUUCAGAAAAUCCUAGAUUCUAUCCAUAUUUUAAGGAUUGUGUGGGAGCAGUUGAUGGCAUACACUUCCCGGUGAUGGUGGGGGUAGAUGAGCAAGGACCUUUCCGCGACAAGAAUGGCUUACUUUCACAAAAUGUUCUGGCUGCUUGCUCAUUUGAUCUCAAGUUCCUUUAUGUCUUGGCUGGUUGGGAAGGCUCUGCUUCAGAUUUGCAAGUUUUGAAUUCUGCUCUCACCAGACGAAACAAAUUGCAGAUGCCAGAAGGCAAAUACUACCUCGUGGACACCAAGUAUCCAAACAUGCCUGGCUUCAUUGCUCCGUAUCCUGGUAUACCUUAUCACUCAACGGAGUUUCCUAGUGGUUAUCACCCUCAAGAUGCAAAAGAGCUAUUUAAUCAGCGACACUCAGUAUUACGAAAUGCAUCUGAUCGCACUUUUGGGGCUUUAAAAGAACGCUUCCCUAUAUUGAUGUCAGCCCCUCCGUACCCAUUACAAACACAAGUCAAAUUGGUUGUGGCAGCUUGUGCCCUACACAACUUCAUCCGUGAGGAGAAACCAGAUGACUGGAUCUUUAAAAUGUACGAAAAGGACACCAUACUGCAAAUGGAGGAAUCAAUUCCCCCGUUAGGGGAGGUGGAGCAACCAAUCAUGCAUUUUGAAGCCUCUGCUUUGGACAUUGCUUUUGAAACCGAAGAACUGGAAUUCACUUCGCAGACGCGGGAUUCGAUUGCAAGUGAAAUGUGGGAUGACUAUAUCCAUGAUUUAUCUCCCAUGUAGAUCAAAUUGAUUAUGGUCACAGAUUCAAGCCAGAUUGACAUUUUUUCUGGGUUUGAGUCCACGACAACCAGACGAAGGUUUCGUUAAUGUACAUUUCUACUUCUGUUUAUAGAAAAGGAAUAUAUUGGUAGGGUUUAGAAAAAGCAAUCAUUUGGAGGGGGUUGAUGUUGCUGGCUUUUCCACCACCUUACAGCUGAACUCCAAAAGCAUGAAGCAGGAAACUUUGAAGAUUGGGAGUGCAUGUGUGGUAGGGAAUACAAUCUGUGACAGAAAAAGCAAGUGUUAAAGUGGUGGAUCUACAUUUCCAUGUAAAACUGGCUGGUUUAGCAGUGGAUUUGAUCACUUUUUGGUUUCUAAAAUUGUACCUGGGGAAAGCAUAACUGAAUACUGCAGUGCAGGUGACUAUUUGUCAGACUCAGGGACCAAAUUAUAACGACCAUCAGAUCGUGCACGCCGGUGAGUGGCCAAGGCCAGGCGACUUCACCAGUGGUCGCGGAGAGAUCCUACUGUGUAUUCCGGGUACAUUCCUGGCACCCAAGAUUUCUCUCUUGUAUGCAUUUUACGUUUCGUGAUAGAUAAGAGAUUCUACUGAGUAAUCGGAGAUAUUAACCCCUUUAUAUGUCUCGCUCAAAUGAGUGGGAGAUGUA